ensembl:lncRNA
GAGGGGGCCGGCGCCAUCUUGGUCCCGCGGACUGUGACUUCUGGGGAGCGUGGGAGACGCCGAGAAUAAGUGUCUGGCUGUCUUGGACACGCAGCCGACUCCUCCCGGAGUUCGCUUCAUUUACUACGGAUGUUUCUGUUCUGAGUCUCGUUAGCCGGGGCUACCUGCAGGCUCAUGAUUGCCUGCGCGGGGAGCCAGGCUCCAAGCCUUAGUCAAACCUUGAGUGUAGCUUAAGCAUUUAAGAAAGGUGAAAUGUAGGAAGCCGGUGUAUAGUUAACAAGGCCUAUUUGGGUCUCAUUUCUGUAACGGACACAGCUUAAGGGAGGUGUAGUGGGUUCCUGCAAUGAAGAGCUGUGGGAACCAGCUCCCUGCUGGCUUGAUGGAAAGGUUGGGAAGCUGGGAUAACCAAGUAAACCAGAAUUGGCAAAAUAAGAGACGCAAAAUGGGCGAAAGAAAACUGUUCGGGAUCCGGAGAAAAGAGCGGUGGAAGAGAAAAGGAGACGGGAAACUCUGGAGUCUGAGAGAUUCAAAACCCAGGCAUCCACAAAUUCAGUGUCUGGCCUUAGGACUCAGACUGACCUAUACUACAGACUCUUCUGGAUCUCUAGCUUGGAGACCGCACACCGUGGGACUCCUCAGCCUCCAUGAUUACAUGAGCCAAUUCUCUCAUAUAUUUGUGUAUAUUCUAUUGGUUCUUUAGAGAGCUGUUUAGCACUGAGUAUCCG